GCCUUCGUGGUGUAAGGUCAGCACACUCGACGCGUAUUCCAGAGGUCUGAAGUUCAAGUCCCGGCGAGGGCA
rnacentral:tRNA from 1 species